AUUCAAAUGCAUAAUAUCGACACUUAAAUUUACGUUAUUGUGACACCAAUUACGCAAAUUUUUGUAUGCAUUAGAUUAAACAAAGAAAUCUCUUCAAAAUGGAUCACAUAUUACGAAGAUAAAUUAGCUGUAUUUUUUAAAACAGCGAUUCUAAUUCAAACGGGGCUCAGUUUCGAAACGCCACCGCUGCAAUUCAAACUGCGAAAUUCAAACCGACACUAAACAUUAACACAAAAUUUACGUAAAUGUGUUACCAAUCACGCAAAUUUUUGUAUGAAAGAGAUUAAACAAAGAAAGGUCUUCAAAAUAGACCACAUGAAGAUAUACAAAUAGCUGUAUUUUUUACACAGCGAUUCAAAGUGGAACGGUCUCACUUUCCCGGCUUUGAUGUGCGUCAACCCAAAAGCUAUAGUUUGCAGGCCUUCAAGAAGCGAGUUGGGUUCUUGGGUAGCAGUUUUUACAACUGUCCGGCGGCCUUGUAUAAAUGGAGAUCCCCACCCACCUUGAACAGAAAAACGUCAGAUUAUAAAUGUCUGUGUUUCAAAGAUAUUUUUUAAAAAUUUGCUCUUGAAUUCCUAACCCAGUGUGGAUGAUUAUCGGAACUCCUACAUUGAAUUACCCUCUGGUUCGAUGCAAACCACCAGUGUAUCAUCUUUCAGUGGAAUGUCUGCAUGAUUCCAACUUGUUCGCUCUCCUGCUUCAUGUCGUGGUCAAAAGUUUCUGUGCCUUGGACUUUACACACCCUACAUCUGGAAUGGAAGAGCUGGAAACAAAUCUUUCCAACAUGCUCUUGUUGCUCUGCAUAAAUUAUCCGACCAUCAGUUGCUGCAAUUCCACAUUGAUCCUAAAAUCGAUCCUGGCCUUGUGUACCAUACCUUUCGCUCUGACAACAGCAACAUUAAAUUCAGAUUUCUAGAAGCUUUAGAUAUGGAACACCUCCAUGAAGUCAUGAUACAUCUAGCUCCAUUAGAAUUGUCAUAUAAAGCUCAGUAUCAAUUAAAAAACCUUGUGAUGGACAAGGAUGUCGGCUUGCUGUUCUUCAAUCUUCAUCUUCAAUCUUCUUAGUGAAGGAGUCAAUCUUCCCUAUGCCAGUUUCACACAUUUCCUUCUUGGCUUGAGCAUUCAGGCUCUAUUAAGCAAUAGCUGGAAUCCGCGAUCAGGCUCGGAGAUGUUUCCAUGCACAUGGAUUUUGGAGAUAAAUAUUCUCGCAGAUGGUCACUCUGCUGAUGCCAAUUCGCGUGCUUUUGAAGUGACCUAAAAACUCCUCUACCAGCUUGCUUUGUUCUCAUCCUAAUCUGUCGGAUGUUGCUGAGAAAAUGCGUCACCCAUCCGUUUGCUCCGGAAAGAUCUCAAUUUUCGCAGCUCUCACAAAUGACUUGGUUGCUAAAAGCCGUAGCUGUCGAAGUUUAAAUUGCCUCGGAAAAGGGUCUUCAUCACACUUUUCUCGAAGUGGAUGAAACGAUUGAAUAGUCACGAUGGGCAAUAUUUCUGAAAGAUCUUUGCUUUGUGGCUCUUUUUUUCUGGGAACAGUACAAAAAUAUCAUGCGAUCUCGACCCAAAAUUGCUGUCCUGUUGAACUCCGUCAAUCUUCAGGUUUCCUAAUUGACUACUCCCACUAUGGAACUCUUCGAUCUAGGUGCCAUCGAAGCGUUGGUUAAGCAGUGUGAAAUCAUCAGUGAAGUCCAGCUAACGAAAGUUGCUUUAAUGCUUUGUUUCAGAAUAACUUGCGAAGCGAAAAUUUUACCAACGUGGCUCUUGGCCAACGCCAACAAAUUCUACAAAAAAUUCCGAACACUCUUUUGUGUGUAGUGCAACAAAACAACAUUCGAUUGGAGCUUUGGGGCUUUGGGCUCGUCGUUUCUUUUACACGCCUCUUUUUUCCGGGCAUGGCCCAUCGAUUUUACCGAAAAUUUUCUCCUGCUCUUCAAGCUUCCAACACCAUGCUUACUGCUCUUGGAAACCGUCUGAGUUGGAUUUUUCUAGGCGAUGGUGAUCCACUCUUAUCUCUCGCACAGCGAAACAAUGAGCUAUUUUACAGAAUCGAUACUAAGACUUCUCAGUUGGAGGAAACGUGAGGCGUUACUCACCGAAGUGAUUUCUCACGCUGCUGUUUGGAACGCAGUGUGUGAGGAAGUCUCCAGCUGCCAUGGAGUUACGCGAGCAGCUGAGUCGUCUCGAGCAAGUGACUCUUAACCUAUUGCCCAUCUUCAUCUGGUCGAAAACACUUUGUAGGAAUUUGGUUUCCUGUCCAGAUGAAUCGAAGGCGGAAGCAGAAGGCGGAGACGGAUAGCCUCAGUUUAUUAAGAGCAGGCAUGAUUCCUGCUCUCGAUGUGGAGCAAUUAGCAGAACCCCAUCACGAACGUUCCGUAUGCCAAACCAAUUCCACGUUACUUCCAGGCACAAUGAAAGAAGAGCAGAGCUAGUAAAAAACCUUACUCACAUCCAGCCUAUCGUCAGCAUCUGGUGUACCAUCUGAUGAAGAGGAUCACGUCCUCGGUGUUGAUCCCGUUGCCUUGGGAAUGCAACAGUUGGGUGGCGCAUCAUUGACCUUGUUUGACAUACCUGUCAAUGAUCCAAAGUGGAUGCAUUGUUGCUCGACACGGCUCAGUCAUUACCUGUUACUCAACUUCCCACUCCCGACUGCAGUCAUUAUGGACGCCGCGAUACUGUCCAUCGAAGCUGAUUAAAAGUUAGAGCGAGCCAUUCGUCACGGCGAAGAAGAAUUAAAUCAGGUUCUACCGUCAAUGGGCUUGAAAAGUGACUGUUGAGGAGGAAACUAAACCCAAAAUAAUUCCAACUGGCGAAUAUAAUCAAGAUCGAGAAUUGGACGACGGCGAUUUUUAUCCGCGCUCUCGAACACCUGUUCUGGACGUCUCUACGUGCUACAACAGGGGUCAUUCAUCAGAGAUUGGUCUAACACCGACUGGGAAUUUUCUAGGAGACUUCCCUCAGAGAGUCAUCCUUUACCACCAGGAGCUGAACAGCAAUACCACCACCAUCAAUUACCACAGCAACCGCAGCAACAACAACUGCAGCAACAACAACUGCAGCAACAACAACUGCAGCAACACAAUAACCACUAUAAUCACCACGGUGGUCCACCUCAAGAAAUGGGAAAUUGGGAUCGUUCCCCUUUCGAACUGCAACAGCAAUCAUGAACCAGAUCGCUUUCAUUCUCGACCACCUCAUAGCCAAGGCCCAAUGAAUAGACCAUACUUUCAGCCAAAGCACCAUCAGGGCCGAUUUAAUCAAAGUGGACCUCUACUUCCACCUCCAGGCAGAGGGAGAGAUCAUCACGGACCACCAGGUGGAGAUCAAGCGUGGGGUGGUCUACCAUAAUCUAUGGAUAAUGAAGAAGAAUGCAUUAUAUAGGAAUUGGAGGACCCACAAUGCAGCCCAUUGAAGUCGACAUGCGGAUGGAAGGCGGUUAUCCGCCUCCCCCACCUCCACAAAUGAGUGAUCGGCAUGGCGAAGGAAACUUUUGGCGGUUGGGGUCCAGGUCCUGAUCCCAACAACUAUCGAGGAGGUGGUGAACCUCCCGGUUCUUAUGACAGAAGCGAAGAGGAUGACCAGGUCAUUUCGCUCCAAACUAUCCUGGACAAUUCCAUCCACCACCACCGCAUCAUCAGCCUCCAUCAGGCCGUUUGAAUCCAGAUGGCGUAGGUAUUCAAAGAGGAGGAUACAACAACUAUUGAUGGCGGAGACCUAUCUAGAGAAGAAUGGUAGUCAUUUCAGAAGCUGAGCCAUGGCUCAGUAGAAGUAUCGUGGUCAUUUACAACAUUUCUUUGGACAACAUUUCUACUAAUAUGUUUUUAUACUGCAAUUAAUUCUGAAAAUGAAGAAAUGAACAAAGUUGGAGAAA